rnacentral:rRNA from 1 species
GAUGAACGCUAGCGGCAGGCCUAAUACAUGCAAGUCGAACGGUGUCUUCGGACAUAGUGGCGCACGGGUGCGUAACACGUAUGCAACCUACCCUACAUUGGGGGAUAGCCUUUCGAAAGGGAGAUUAAUACCGCAUAAGACAGUAGCUGGGCAUCCAGCAGCUGUUAAAGAUUUAUCGAUGUAAGCUGGGCAUGCGUCCAAUUAGCUAGUUGGUGAGGUAACGGCUCACCAAGGCAAUGAUUGGUAGGGGAACUGAGAGGUCAAUCCCCCACACUGGCACUGAGAUACGGGCCAGACUCCUACGGGAGGCAGCAGUAGGGAAUAUUGGGCAAUGGACGCAAGUCUGACCCAGCCAUGCCGCGUGCAGGAUGAAGGCGUUAUGCGUUGUAAACUGCUCUUAUACAGGAAGAAACGACUCUUGCGAGAGGCAUUGACGGUACUGUAUGAAUAAGCACCGGCUAACUCCGUGCCAGCCGCCGCAGUAACAC